rnacentral:lncRNA from 1 species
CACGCGAUGAAUGAAUAAAGUACACUGACACACAGAUAUUCUGCUCUGCCAGUCCAGCUGAGGGUCCAAGCCCCUUACAGGCUCCCUGCUGAGCCCUGUAAACAGUUGCGACUCGGCAGGGAGCCUGUAAGCACCUGGGACCCUCAGAAUAUCUGUGUGUCAGCGUACUUUAUUCACCGGUCAUUGGGUCAGGGGUCUGCAAGGGACAGACUCCCCACAGCUGGUGACCCCUCGAGAGGAGCCCUGCCCCCAGCUGGUGCCCCAUGUGAGGCGCUGUGUGAGGAACUGUGUGAGGAAUGCUGUGAAGGAAACGCGACGAACCGCCCGAAAACGAAGCUAUGACCGAGAAACCAAGGAACUCACUAUCUUGUCCUCUUGGAUGCCAGCUAUAAAUUGAAUCAAGUUGGACACCGGAAUUUUGACCACUUUCCACCUUUCUAUCGUGG